GCAUCUAGCUCGGUUGGUAAGAGCAUGGUGCUGAUAAUGCCAAGGUUGCAGGUUCAAUCCCUGUAUGGGACAGCUGCA